rnacentral:lncRNA from 1 species
UAAGCACUAAUUAAUGUAAGCAAAAGCACUAUGUAUUUGAUAUGAUUAAGCUAACAAAAGAGCUAAGCAGUCUGAUCAAAGCAGAUAGAGAGUAUAGGGUGUGAACAAGGUAGAUGGAACGCUUGUCCUAGGGAUCUAGGAUCACUUGCAGAUGCAAUCGCCAAGAGUGAACGAACAAGAUCUAGGUGUUAUCGUGAGUGACUGUAAACUAUGCCCAACACUUUCCCUCUUGCAUACCUACACUAUGCAAGGAUAAUAAACUAUUGGACAAUAAGAACACGACAUGAUGAUUGUUCUAGGUAAGCAACAAAGGAACCCAAAGUGGCGCUGGCCAGCCAUUACAUGAAAGAGCAUCAUCAAUAUAUGAAUGAUAACAAAUAGAUCUUCAACAAUAGAUUCGGCAAUUACAAAUCAAGAUCUCAUACAACCCCGAGGACAAACA